UAGUCGCGGUGUAUAUGUGACAAUUGCCAUUCUAAAUUAUCUGAUGAUAUAUGCUUGACCUAUUCCGAUUGUUACAGGGGCAAAAGCGUCACAAGCCACAAGUGAUGACCGAAGCUCGACAUCAAUUGCGAGAGCAUCUUGAUAAAGCGUUAUUUUUGUUUCCUCGUUCCUUGUCGCCAUGGAAAAUAACUAUGUUUUACUCAAAAUUUUCUGAGAUGCCACUUAGGUAGUUGGGAUUUUUGUGGCAAGGAGUAUUGUAAAC
rnacentral:lncRNA from 1 species